rnacentral:miRNA from 1 species
AGAUGUGGAGAUCGUGGGGAUG